GACGAACGCUGGCGGCGUGCUUAACACAUGCAAGUCGAACGGAAAGGCCCUGCUUUUGUGGGGUGCUCGAGUGGCGAACGGGUGAGUAACACGUGAGUAACCUGCCCUUGACUUUGGGAUAACUUCAGGAAACUGGGGCUAAUACCGGAUAGGAGCUCCUGCUGCAUGGUGGGGGUUGGAAAGUUUCGGCGGUUGGGGAUGGACUCGCGGCUUAUCAGCUUGUUGGUGGGGUAGUGGCUUACCAAGGCUUUGACGGGUAGCCGGCCUGAGAGGGUGACCGGCCACAUUGGGACUGAGAUACGGCCCAGACUCCUACGGGAGGCAGCAGUGGGGAAUAUUGCACAAUGGGCGGAAGCCUGAUGCAGCAACGCCGCGUGCGGGAUGACGGCCUUCGGGUUGUAAACCGCUUUCGCCUGUGACGAAGCGUGAGUGACGGUAAUGGGUAAAGAAGCACCGGCUAACUACGUGCCAGCAGCCGCGGUGAUACGUAGGGUGCGAGCGUUGUCCGGAUUUAUUGGGCGUAAAGGGCUCGUAGGUGGUUGAUCGCGUCGGAAGUGUAAUCUUGGGGCUUAACCCUGAGCGUGCUUUCGAUACGGGUUGACUUGAGGAAGGUAGGGGAGAAUGGAAUUCCUGGUGGAGCGGUGGAAUGCGCAGAUAUCAGGAGGAACACCAGUGGCGAAGGCGGUUCUCUGGGCCUUUCCUGACGCUGAGGAGCGAAAGCGUGGGGAGCGAACAGGCUUAGAUACCCUGGUAGUCCACGCUGUAAACGGUGGGUACUAGGUGUGGGGUCCAUUCCACGGGUUCCGUGCCGUAGCUAACGCUUUAAGUACCCCGCCUGGGGAGUACGGCCGCAAGGCUAAAACUCAAAGGAAUUGACGGGGCCCCGCACAAGCGGCGGAGCAUGCGGAUUAAUUCGAUGCAACGCGUAGAACCUUACCUGGGUUUGACAUGGAUCGGGAGCGCUCAGAGAUGGGUGUGCCUCUUUUGGGGUCGGUUCACAGGUGGUGCAUGGCUGUCGUCAGCUCGUGUCGUGAGAUGUUGGGUUAAGUCCCGCAACGAGCGCAACCCUUGUUCACUGUUGCCAGCACGUUAUGGUGGGGACUCAGUGGAGACCGCCGGGGUCAACUCGGAGGAAGGUGGGGAUGACGUCAAGUCAUCAUGCCCCUUAUGUCCAGGGCUUCACGCAUGCUACGAUGGCUGGUACAGAGAGUGGCGAGCCUGUGAGGGUGAGCGAAUCUCGGAAAGCCGGUCUCAGUUCGGAUUGGGGUCUGCAACUCGACCUCAUGAAGUCGGAGUCGCUAGUAAUCGCAGAUCAGCAACGCUGCGGUGAAUACGUUCCCGGG
rnacentral:rRNA from 1 species